rnacentral:rRNA from 1 species
CCAGACUCCUACGGGAGGCAGCAGUGGGGAAUUUUGGACAAUGGGCGCAAGCCUGAUCCAGCCAUGCCGCGUGUCUGAAGAAGGCCUUCGGGUUGUAAAGGACUUUUGUUAGGGAAGAAAAGGAUAGUGUUAAUACCAUUAUCUGCUGACGGUACCUAAAGAAUAAGCACCGGCUAACUACGUGCCAGCAGCCGCGGUAAUACGUAGGGUGCGAGCGUUAAUCGGAAUUACUGGGCGUAAAGCGAGCGCAGACGGUUUAUUAAGCAAGAUGUGAAAUCCCCGAGCUUAACUUGGGAACUGCGUUUUGAACUGGUAAGCUAGAGUAUGUCAGAGGGGGGUAGAAUUCCACGUGUAGCAGUGAAAUGCGUAGAGAUGUGGAGGAAUACCGAUGGCGAAGGCAGCCCCCUGGGAUAAUACUGACGUUCAUGCUCGAAAGCGUGGGUAGCAAACAGGAUUAGAUACCCUGGUAGUCCACGCCCUAAACGAUGUCAAUUAGCUGUUGGGCAGCUUGACUGCUUAGUAGCGAAGCUAACGCGUGAAAUCGACCGCCUGGGGAGUACGGUCGCAAGAUUAAAACUCAA